GCUCUCUAUGCUUCUGUCAUCA
rnacentral:miRNA from 1 species